AGCUGUGGGUUGUGAGAGGCCAGGCCAACAAAGAAGUUUAAUAAGUAGAUUUCAGGACAUGUGUGUAAACUUUGGUGGGACACCAGCCCGGGACACGUGUGCCAAAGAAGCUCUUCACAACCACAGAUGGAGCUUUCCAUGUCUUACGGAGGAGGCUGGGAAGCUAAACUGUAUAUCUGUAAAAAAGAAGGAGAUCUUUAGCUCAUGCCACCAAAGUGCAAAGCAUUGCAUUAUUUUAUUGUCUACCUCUCCUCCCACACUGCAUUUAUGAAGACAUUGUGAACUGUGAAAUCUUUGUACAAAAAUUGCUUUAUGCCCAAUUACUAGGAGUGCACUAUAAAUUAAAAAUUUG
rnacentral:lncRNA from 1 species